AACGAACGCUGGCGGCAUGCCUAACACAUGCAAGUCGAACGAGACCUUCGGGUCUAUUUGCGCACGGGUGCGUAACGCGUGGGAACCUGCCCUUAGGUUCGGAAUAACUCCCCGAAAGGGGUGCUAAUACCGGAUAAUGUCUUCGGACCAAAGAUUUAUCGCCUUUGGAUGGGCCCGCGUUGGAUUAGCUAGUUGGUAGGGUAAAAGCCUACCACGGCGACGAUCCAUAGCUGGUCUGAGAGGAUGAUCAGCCACACUGGGACUGAGACACGGCCCAGACUCCUACGGGAGGCAGCAGUGGGGAAUAUUGGAAAAUGGGCGAAAGCCUGAUCCAGCAAUGCCGCGUGAGUGAUGAAGGCCUUAGGGUUGUAAAGCUCUUUUACCCGGGAUGAUAAUGACAGUACCGGGAGAAUAAGCUCCGGCUAACUCCGUG
rnacentral:rRNA from 1 species